rnacentral:rRNA from 1 species
AUUCCAGCUCCAAUAGCGUAUAUUAAAGUUGUUGCCGUUAAAAAGCUCGUAGUCGAACUUCGGUCCCUGUCGGUCGGUCCGCCUUCUUGGUGUGUACUUACUCGACGGGGACUUACCUCCUGGUGAACUGCGAUGUCCUUUACUGGGUGUCGUAGCGAACCAGGACUUUUACUUUGAAAAAAUUAGAGUGUUCAAAGCAGGCCUACGCCCGAAUACAUUAGCGUGGAAUAAUAGAAUAGGACGCGCGUUCCCAUUUUGUUGGUUUCUGAGAUCGCCGUAAUGAUUAAUAGGGAUAGUUGGGGGCAUUUGUAUUCCGUCGUCAGAGGUGAAAUUCUUAGAUUGCCGGAAGACAAACUACUGCGAAAGCAUUUGCCAAGGAUGUUUUCAUUA